UGGUGAAAUUAAGGAGGCAGAUAAGUGUUUACGGUAUAUCACCGGGGCAACCUCGUCAGCUGUCCGGAACCAAACGGCCACCAGCAAUUCAAAGGUUCCACCACAGACGGAAGGGUUUCGUUUGAAUUUAUAACAGAUUUGGCUCCACGGUCAUUUCAUUCUAGCACACUAGCUACCAUUUACCAGGUUAAUUAGCCAUGUCUGUCGAACUCGCUUUUCGUUCGUGUUGCCACUAUUUUAGAAACGUUGACAGAAAAAGCCUUGCAAGACAUUUGACAAUUUAUGGGAGAAACUUGUGCUGUAUGAAUGUUGCAUGAACAAAACCAAAGCUCGACAGUCACAGGUGAUGGAGAAUACCAUCGGGAAGGAGAAGCCAGCGAACUGCUAAAUUAGGGGAUGGAGACAUUGCCAGUACCACUGGUCAUAAAAGAGGAGGAUGAUGACAUGGAGUCUCAAGUUUACAGUGUGUGGAUUCUGGACACUCACAAGGCCGACCAGAAUAUCAGGGGAGAAAGUGAUGAGGAGUCCAGCCUCUGGGGGAUCCAAAGAACUUGGACUCCACGACUUCAAGAGAGAACAGAGUCCGUUGCUGGUGUCAGCUGAGGAUGCUGCAGCACCCACAAAGAAAUAUAAUGUAAAUAUAUACACGUGUGAAAUGUGUGGUAAGAUUGAGACCAAGAAACGCAGAAUGACAAGUCACACGAUAAAGCACACAGGGCUGCCCUUCAGCUGCGACUUCUUGACCAGACACAAGCAAUCCAAACACACAGUGAAAACCUACAGUUGCUCUGUGUGGGAAAAAAUCUUCCGGCAGGCCACAUUUCAUGAAACACAUGAGCAUGGUCACACUGGGGAAAAAUGAUUGGUACUCAGACUGUGGCGAAGACGUUCAAGGAACGCAGGGAUCGUGACACACAUGAUUGCAUUGUUUACAAGGGAGAACGGUCCUUCAGCUUCUCCGAGUGCUAUAACCACUUUCAAAGGCUGUACCAUCUCAAAAAGCACCCUCUAAUGGUGGCACAGACCAUUAACAAAGGACCUGAGUCAAAGGGCAUUGAGGACCAACAGAGUCCGUUUGAGUCAGUUCUGAAAAAUCAAUAAGGAGUGAACCAAUACAGUACACCUGUGAAAUAUGUGGAACAACUUGGGGGACUAAAGGUGGCGAGACCAAACACAUGGUUACAGCGGGUGGAUGCCAAAGACUCACAAGGCCAACCAGAAUAUCAUAGGAAAAAGUGAUGAAGAGAGAAGUCAAGCCUCUAGAGGAUCCAAAGAACUUGGACUCGACGACUUUAAGAAAGAACAGAGUCUGUUGCUGGUGUCAAUUGUGGAUGCUGCAGCACCUACAAAGAGGAAGAAAUAUAACAUAAGAUACACCUGUAAAAUAUGUGGAAAGACUGGGACCAAGAAAGGCAGAAUGACAAGUCACUUGAUAACACACAAAGGGACUUCUAGUUGUGAUACUUGUGGUGACAAAUUCAAGCAUCAGAAUGGCUUGACAAAGCACAAGCUACUCAAACACAGUGUGAAAACCUACAGUUGCUUUGUGUGCGGAAAGAUGUUUUUAUAUUCUAAAAUACGUGACUACCAUGAGCGCAUACACGUUGGAGAAGACUACUGGUGCGCGGACUGUGGCAAGACGUUCAAGGAGCGCCAGGAUCGCGACAUGCACGAGUGCAUUGUUUGCAAGGGAGACCGGCCCUACAGCUGCUCCGAGUGCAACAAGGACUUUGAAAGGCAGUACCAUCUCAAACAACACCAGCUGGAAAAACACCCUCUAAUGGUGGACCAGUCUGUUGAACCAGAACCUGAGUCCAAGGACAUUGAGGACCAACCGAGUCAGUUUGACUCAGCUGAGAGUUCUGAGGCACCCAUAAGGAAUGAAACGAUACAAUACACUUGUGAAAUAUGUGGAACAACUUGGGCGACUCAAAAUAGCAUGCGCUCUCAUAUGUUUAUACAUAGAAAAAUACAAAGGAAACACUAUACCUGCGACGUCUGUGACAAGGUUUUUAGGCUCAAAUCACCUUUCACCAAACAUCAGCUCAGACACAAGGGAGACCUGCCCUUCAGCUGCUCCGAGUGCAACAAGGACUUUAAAAGUCAGUACCAGCUUAAAAAACACCAGCUGGAAAAGCACCCUCUAAAGGUGGAGCAGUCGUGUUCUGAUCUUGUAUGGACAGCGACCUGAAGGCCGAUAUCGGUGCCUUUGGUUGGUAAGUUCAGGUCCCACAACCUGAGUUGAACAAUGAUCGUGGUGAUGUCUAACAUGUGCUCUGUCUGAGAAUGUCAGCUACCAUUUAUGCUCUUCACUGAACAUGACCCAAUUAAAAUGGUUGUAUCUGAAUUAACAUUUCUAAGUGUAAGAAUUUUUGGUUUCAAUGUCAUUUUUUUGCCCAUAUUUUUCCUUUUGUUUGAAAAGCAUGAUUUAGGCUUAAUCGUUGUUAAAUAGCUUGUCGUAUUUGAAUAAAAAACAUA